UAUACCUUUAAAUUGAUCCAGAGAGGUCAAGAAGGAAGUCAUAUAGUUUAGAGAUGUAUUCUAUGGUAUAAGUAUGCCUUCCUUUAUGGAAGGCAUUUUUAUU
rfam:Clostridium sp. N3C genome assembly, contig: N3C_contig6